CGAGACGACGCUGGCGGCGUGCUUAACACAUGCAAGUCGAACGGUGACCCAGGGCUUGCCCUGGUGAUCAGUGGCGAACGGGUGAGUAACACGUGGACAACCUGCCCCUGACUUCGGGAUAACUCCUCGAAAGAGGAGCUAAUACCGGAUACGACCACUUCGGACAUCCGAUGGUGGUGGAAAGUUUUUCGGUCAGGGAUGGGCCCGCGGCCUAUCAGCUAGUUGGUGGGGUAAUGGCCUACCAAGGCGACGACGGGUAGCCGGCCUGAGAGGGCGACCGGCCACACUGGGACUGAGACACGGCCCAGACUCCUACGGGAGGCAGCAGUGGGGAAUAUUGCGCAAUGGGCGAAAGCCUGACGCAGCGACGCCGCGUGAGGGAUGAAGGCCUUCGGGUUGUAAACCUCUUUCAGCAGGGACGAAGCGAAAGUGACGGUACCUGCAGAAGAAGCACCGGCUAACUACGUG
rnacentral:rRNA from 1 species